AAAAAAGGUAAGCUACUAAGAGCGAAUGGUGGAUGCCUUGACUGGUAAAGGCGAUGAAGGACGUACUAGACUGCGAUAAGCUACGGGGAGCUGUCAAGAAGCUUUGAUCCGUAGAUUUCCGAAUGGGGCAACCCAAUGUAUAGAGAUAUACAUUACCUAUAUAGGAGCGAACGAGGGGAAUUGAAACAUCUUAGUACCCUCAGGAAAAGAAAUCAAUAGAGAUUGCGUCAGUAGCGGCGAGCGAAAGCGCAAGAGGGCAAACCCAGUGCUUGCACUGGGGGUUGUAGGACUGCAAUGUGCAAGAGGUGAGUUUAGCAGAACAUUCUGGAAAGUAUAGCCAUAGAGGGUGAUAGUCCCGUAUGCGAAAAACAAACCUUAGCUAGCAGUAUCCUGAGUAGGGCGGGACACGAGAAAUCCUGUCUGAAGCUGGGUCGACCACGAUCCAACCCUAAAUACUAAUACCAGAUCGAUAGUGCACAAGUACCGUGAGGGAAAGGUGAAAAGAACUGAGGUGAUCAGAGUGAAAUAGAACCUGAAACCAUUUGCUUACAAUCAUUCAGAGCCCUAUGUAGCAAUACAGGGUGAUGGACUGCCUUUUGCAUAAUGAGCCUGCGAGUUGUGGUGUCUGGCAAGGUUAAGCAAACGCGAAGCCGUAGCGAAAGCGAGUCUGAAUAGGGCGCUUAGUCAGAUGCUGCAGACCCGAAACGAAGUGAUCUAUCCAUGAGCAAGUUGAAGCUAGUGUAAGAACUAGUGGAGGACUGAACCCAUAGGCGUUGAAAAGCCCCGGGAUGACUUGUGGAUAGGGGUGAAAGGCCAAUCAAACUUCGUGAUAGCUGGUUCUCUCCGAAAUAUAUUUAGGUAUAGCGUUGUGUCGUAAUAUAAGGGGGUAGAGCACUGAAUGGGCUAGGGCAUACACCAAUGUACCAAACCCUAUCAAACUCCGAAUACCUUAUAUGUAAUCACAGCAGUCAGGCGGCGAGUG
rnacentral:rRNA from 1 species